UACGUAGGUGGCAAGCGUUGUCCGGAUUUACUGGGCGUAAAGGGCGCGUAGGUGGAUAUUUAAGUGGGAUGUGAAAUACUCGGGCUUAACCUGGGUGCUGCAUUCCAAACUGGAUAUCUAGAGUGCAGGAGAGGAAAGUAGAAUUCCUAGUGUAGCGGUGAAAUGCGUAGAGAUUAGGAAGAAUACCAGUGGCGAAGGCGACUUUCUGGACUGUAACUGACACUGAGGCUCGAAAGCGUGGGGAGCAAACAGG
rnacentral:rRNA from 1 species